UUCUCAAGAAUCAUGGGAAACGCCAGCGAGCUGGAGCAAAGUUAGGCAACGGUGCCCCAAAAUUCAUAAAUAUCUUUUCUUAAACGUACUUAGGCAUUUAGAAUUUUAACCAAAGUUUUUUUUUCUAUUGUUAGAUUUGAACACCUUUCAUAAAUAACAAAUACAACUCACUUAAGCAUACUUUACCCUCACGGGCUGCAAGGAAUAAAUAUUUCUUAGGCACUUGAUAUAAAUUUUGAACCUCUAAUCAAAAAGGGUGCAUAAUUUUAAAUAUUUUAUUAUUAUUUAUCCAUUCUAACCCUGCUUAGACAACAUUCUGCGACUACUUUAUUAAUAAAAUAGCAUCCAGAAAUUUCCGGAAUUCUGUGAUAGAGAGAUGGUUACUGGAUGCUAUGCUAAAAAUUUGGCUUCCACUUCAUGAAAUGUUACAGUGGUUAUUUAGCUGUAACAUACCACCAAUUCCUAAUUACUCGAUAUGUUCACAGUUUCCUGGAAGAAAUUGUCAAAUGUGAAGUGCCCAUCAUAUUAUUUCACAGCCAUUAACAAUGUGUAGAGUUCUGCAUAAUCAUCUGAUUGAGUUCUGUAUUCAACAGUUUUUAGUAGCUUGGAAUAUACUGAAGGAUAUAAAGAAAUGAAUGGAAUGAGGCCUCUUCAUGCUGACCAGGUAGAGA